CAGUAGCGUAUAUUAAAGUUGUUGCAUUUAAAAAGCUCGUAGUUGGUGUUUCGCUUGGCCUCAUCGAUGCUUGCCAUUGUAGAGGCCUAGCUGAUAUUCGGUGGCAACGCCGUGUGCACUGUGAGAAAAACAGAGUGAUCAAACAGUCUAGGACUGAAUGCUUCAGCAUGGUAUGGGUUUUCGACAGCGCCGCUCCCGGAGCUUCGGUGAAGGGGGCUGCGCAGUAAAGGUUAAUAGAGACAGACGAUGGAAUCCGAAUUGGGUUGCUAGAGGUGAAAUUCUUGGACCAACUCAAGUCGAACUGAAGCGAAAGCUCUUUCCACGCAUGUUCUUAUUAA
rnacentral:rRNA from 1 species